UACGUAGGGUGCAAGCGUUGUCCGGAAUUAUUGGGCGUAAAGAGCUCGUAGGCGGUCUGUCGCGUCUGCUGUGAAAACUCGGGGCUUAACCCCGGGCCUGCAGUGGAUACGGGCAGACUAGAGUGCGGUAGGGGAGACUGGAAUUCCUGGUGUAGCGGUGAAAUGCGCAGAUAUCAGGAGGAACACCCGUGGCGAAGGCGGCCCCCUGGGUCGGCCCUGACGCUGAGGCGCGAAAGCGUGGGGAGCGAACGGG
rnacentral:rRNA from 1 species